GAAGCUUCUUGGCCUUUUGGCUAAGAUCAAGUGUAGUAUCUGUUCUUAUCAGUUUCAUGCCGGUGGCAGUCAAUGCCGGUUGGGAGCUGGUGAGGAUUGGUGCUGCAUGGUAGGGGGCAGGUGUACCGGGGCAUUCCGGGGCUGAUUCUGAGGUAUCGGCUCGACAGCUGCCCCGAUGUGACCUGUU